rnacentral:rRNA from 1 species
GUCAGUGGCAAUAGCACAUUGAACCAGUUCCCGGUGGAUCACUGAAGUUAAGCAACGUUGCGCGUGGUUGGUACCUGAAUGGGUGACCAACGAGCUACUGGUU